AUUGAACGCUGGCGGCAGGCCUAACACAUGCAAGUCGAACGAGUGGCGGACGGGUGAGUAAUGUCUGGGAAACUGCCUGAUGGAGGGGGAUAACUACUGGAAACGGUAGCUAAUACCGCAUACCAUCGGAUGUGCCCAGAUGGGAUUAGCUAGUAGGUGGGGUAAAGGCUCACCUAGGCGACGAUCCCUAGCUGGUCUGAGAGGAUGACAAGCAAAACUGGGACUGAGACACGGCCCAGACUCCUACGGGAGGCAGCAGUGGGGAAUAUUGCACAAUGGGCGCAAGCCUGAUGCAGCCAUGCCGCGUGUAUGAAGAAGGCCUUCGGGUUGUAAAGUACUUUCAGCGGGGAGGCGGUACCCGCAGAAGAAGCACCGGCUAACUCCGUGCCAGCAGCCGCGGUAAUAC
rnacentral:rRNA from 1 species